AAGGGAGCGUAGGCGGCGUGGUAAGUCAGAUGUGAAAUCCCGGGGCUCAACCCCGGAACUGCAUCCGAUACUGCCGUGCUUAGAGGAUUGGAGAGGUAGCUGGAAUUCUUGGUGUAGCAGUGAAAUGCGUGGAUAUCAAGAGGAACACUCGUGGCGAAAGCGAGCUACUGGACAACUCCUGACGCUGAGGCUCGAAGGCCAGGGUAGCGAAAGGGAUUAGAUACCCCUGUAGUCCUGGCAGUAAACGGUGCACGCUUGGUGUGAGGGGAAUCGACCCCCCUUGUGCCGGAGCAAACGCGUUAAGCGUGCCGCCUGGGAAGUACGGUCGCAAGACUAAAACUCAAAGAAAUUGACGGGGACCCGCACAAGCGGUGGAGUAUGUGGCUUAAUUCGAUGCAACGCGAAGAACCUUACCUGGGCUUGACAUGCAUCUCUAAGCGCGUGAAAGCGCGUGGCCCUUCGGGGGAUUUGUACAGGUGCUGCAUGGCCGUCGUCAGCUCGUGUCGUGAGAUGUUGGGUUAAGUCCCGCAACGAGCGCAACCCUUGUGACUAGUUGCCAGCGCGUAAUGGCGGGAACUCUAGUCAGACUGCCCAGAUCAACUGGGAGGAAGGUGGGGACGACGUCAGGUCAGUAUGGCCCUUACGCCCAGGGCUGCACACGUACUACAAUGCCCAGCACAAUGAGAACCGAGACCGCGAGGUGGAGGAAAUCUAUAAAACUGGGCCCAGUUCGGAUUGGAGGCUGCAACUCGCCUCCAUGAAGUUGGAAUCGCUAGUAAUGGCGCAUCAUCUACGGCGCCGUGAAUACGUUCCCGGGUCUUGUACACACCGCCCGUCACAUCAUGGAAGCCGGUCGCACCCGAAGUACAUGCACCAACCGCAAGGGGGUA
rnacentral:rRNA from 1 species